GGUCAAGCUACAAAGGGCUCAUGGCGGAUACCUUGGCACGCAGAG
rnacentral:rRNA from 1 species